AGCUCAGUAGGUAGAGCAACUGACUUGUAAUCAGUAGGUCACCAGUUCGAUUCCGGUA
rnacentral:tRNA from 2 species